rnacentral:lncRNA from 1 species
GGGAGCUUCGUUCUGAGAAGAGGUCGAUGGCGCCGGAGUUUGCGGCCUCCGCGCAGCAAUGGGUCUGCCUGCCGCGGAGAUGGGUGUGUCACCGGCUUCGCUGGGCUCAGGCUCUUACGUCAUAAAACAAGAAGGUAGCUGAAUCCAGGCCAGAGAUCAAGAAGAUUUUAACUAACACUUGCUCAAGAUUCGUUCCCUAAAGGUAAAUUACUUGCAGUCUGUUGUCUCUUUUUUUUUCCCUUAUUGCUUCAGACAUGGGAGCAAAGCUGUUAUAGAAAUCACCAUUUUAUCAACAUGGUAGGACAUCAUCCUUGCAGUUGUAUAUGUAUAGUUUUCUCUGAAAUACCUUACCAGGUAACUGAAAUUCCAGUCUCCAAGCUCAGCAAUGCUCUGGUGCUUGUAACUUCAUCUGGGGUCACUUACAUGGGCUUUCCUUGGUAAAUCUUAAGCUCAGCCUUUGCCAAAAAGCAAUCAGUCUGACAGCCACUUUCUUUGGCAUUUUUCCAGAGGUAUUAACUGCCUUUUCCUCAUAUGAAUGAAUUUCUGAUUGCGCAACUGAAAAAAAAAGUGAAAAAAUUAAGGCAGGGGAUUCUUUCUUAGAAGCAAAAUUGCUGAUACUUCACAUUAAUGUCAGUAAGAACCAAAUAAACAAGGUCUGUGAUUAAGACUAACAAUGAGCCAAGUGCAAUUUGCCCUCCAGACUUUUAGCCCCAGAUGCCUUUGUUGACAAAGAAGUGUCUGGCUUUUGAAUCAGUGGGGCACCUUUUGGAGGCACUCCAGGUUCUCCUGACAACAUGGACUAUUUUUUUUUAAUGUGUGUGUGUGUGAGUCAGAGGGGCUCCUUCCCAUACAAGGUUAUGGCUGAGUGAAGUAAUUUUCAGGAAGGCAUAAGCCACUGCAAGCCUCACGUACCAUAAUAAUACAUGGUGCCUCCACCGAACAAGACCUAGGGAACUAAAUUGGGGGCGCAAAAUUCCUUUCAUUUUAACACCUUCGCAGUUGAAGUUUCUGUUAUCUAAGAAUUAUAUUCCCUUUUCUUCUCUGACUAUUCAUCAUCUUAAAUCAUGUCCCUACAAAAGCACCCACAGAUUUUUCUAGAGUUGCUAGCUUGGCAGAUUUGGAAGCUCUAAUUCUCUGACCUCUUAAAACCAGAUGUCGUGUCUUAAGGUCAGAUCAGAGGACAUUACCCACUUGACUUCCUAAGAACACUAUAAAUCUCUAUGCUAUGCCAAAAUAAAUUUUGAAAUGUUCUUUAAUCACAUUUAUGUAUAUGUGCUUAAUAAAUAUAGGUCAAGACCAAAUAUUAUUAUUAUUAUUCCUUCUGAAAUCACUGUGUUUUUUUUUUCUGUUAGCAUUGCUAUAUCAAGUAUCAAUAAGAGACCAAGAAUUUUUCAGAACAGAAAUCAGUUUUCCUUUCUUUAGUGACUUAUUGUUGUUGGUUCCCUUAAGAAAUUUUUAUUUGAAUAUUGCUGAAGCAAUGACUUCAUAAAAUCUUAGUAUUAUGUUGUUCAUCCUUUACUCUCAACUUCUGUUAAUUGAAUUAAUGAUGUUUGACAGUAUAGUGAUAUGCCCCAUUGUGAAAUAUACUAAAUAUAUGAGUUUAAAGAAAUUGUUUCAGUAUUAGUGAGCACUACCUAUGAAAUAAGUUUUAGGAAUUUUGCUAGUUUUGGUUAAUCAUAGCUACGGCAGAUACCGAGGCUGACUCCCUCCAAAUCCAUUCUAACUUCCUUCUCACGUACUUCAUAAGCUGGAAAGCUAAAAAUCCCUUUGACCCUAUUUGACCCUAGAUGCCUUUGAGGCUGAAGUUCAGGUGUAACUUAUAUUCUGAUGAGACGCACUUACAUAAACUGAAUUAGAUGGAAGGAAGGCAAAGCACAGUCAUCUACCAUGAUGGUAUUCAAUCAUGGCAAUAACAGCAGCAGCAUGGGUCCGAGUUAGCUGUUUCCUAAUCAUAGCAGAAGUGACAGGAUUCUGGUGCCAGGGCUUGCAGCAGUGGAUUAUCAGCUUAGCAGGGAGUUUCCUGGCUCUAUGACUUCCUCACUUUAGCGAAUCUGUGAAUCUGUUGUAUGAUAUGGCCCCAGGGUCUACUUCUUCAGACUUCCCAAUGAUUCUGUAAGCUACUUGUAUCAAUCAUCUAUUGCCACGAUAGUGUGGUAUGACAAACAUUCCUAAAUAUAGCAGUUUAAAACAACGACUGUUAUUAUUGCAUGAAUCUGUCAGUCCACUGGCCAGUUCUACUGUACAGGUUGAGCUUUGCUGAGCUUACUGAGCUUACUCAUAUGUUUGUGGUCAGCUGAUGGGUUAGCUAGAGGCUGGCUGGUUUCUCAUGGCUCAGCUCAGACAGCUCAUCUCUGCUCUGUGUCGGCCCUCAUUGUUCAGCAGGCUAGCCUGGAUUGUUUUCAUGGAGUUCCUAGAGAAGAGCAGAGUGUGCAAGGCCUCCUGAGGAUUGGGCUUAGAAACAGCACGUCAUUUCUACCCUAUUCCAUAGAGCAAGAUUCAAGGAGUAAGGAAAUAGACUCAAUCCCAUGACGGAAGGAGGAGUUACAAAGUCACAUUGUAGGAGUUCCCGUCGUGGCGCAGUGGUUAACGAAUCCUACUAGGAACCAUGAGGUUGCAGGUUCGGUCCCUGCCCUUGCUCAGUGGGUUAACGAUCCGGCGUUGCCGUGAGCUGUGGUGUAGGUUGCAGACGUGGCUCGGAUCCCGUGUUGCUGUGGCUCUGGCGUAGGCCGG